rnacentral:rRNA from 2 species
UCCGACCUCAGAUCGGACGAGAUUACCCGCUGAAUUUAAGCAUAUAACUAAGCGGAGGAAAAGAAACUAACAAGGAUUUCCCCAGUAACGGCGAGUGAAGCGGAAAAAGCCCAGCACCGAAUCCCUCAGUGUGAUGCUGACGGGAACUGUGGUGUGUGGGACGCCACCAGUCGCAUCAGCGGGCGCCGAAGUCCUCCUGAUCGGGGCUUCACCCAUAGCGGGUGUAAGGCCUUUGCAGGUGCUUCGCUGUGCGGCCGCGAGCGUCCUAGGAGUCGGGUUGUUUGGGAAUGCAGCCCAAAGUGGGUGGUAAACUCCAUCU